AUGGCGAAGAGCGAGCGAAAAUGGCUUAACAUUUUACAUCUGCGGAGAUGCUGUAAGCAUCGAUUGAGAAAAGAGAGGCGGAAUCGGUAUCGCACCUCCGGUGAAUCUCCGGAGAAGAAGAAGACAACUUCGCAAGGAAUUGGGAACGUCACAGAACCUUGUACUCUAUCUCCUCCUCAAACGCGAUGUUCUAAGUGCUGA